AGUGAACGCUGGCGGUAGGCCUAACACAUGCAAGUCGAACGGCAGCACAGUAAGAGCUUGCUCUUACGGGUGGCGAGUGGCGGACGGGUGAGGAAUACAUCGGAAUCUACUUUUUCGUGGGGGAUAACGUAGGGAAACUUACGCUAAUACCUCAUACGACCUACGGGUGAAAGCAUGGGAUCUUCGGACCUUGCGCGAUUGAAUGAGCCGAUGUCGGAUUAGCUAGUUGGCGGGGUAAAGGCCCACCAAGGCGACGAUCCGUAGCUGGUCUGAGAGGAUGACCAGCCACACUGGAAAUGGGCCACGGUCCAGAGUCCUAGGGGAGGGAGCAGUGGCGAAUGUUGGGGCAUGGGCGGAAGACUGAUCCAGCGAUACCGCGUGGGUGAAGAAGGCCUUCGGGUUGUAAAGCCCUUUUGUUGGGAAAGAAAAGCAGCGUGUUAAUACCCCGGUGUUCUGACGGUACCCAAAGAAUAAGCACCGGCUAACUUCGUG
rnacentral:rRNA from 1 species